rnacentral:lncRNA from 1 species
AAUAAGUUAUCAUCUAGGAUGAAAGAUGAUGUGGCAAGCAAAUAAAUGAAAAAAGAGAAUGAAAACAUGUCUUGUAUAUCUCAUGUUUUCUACACAACAUCCAAGAUAUCAUGUGAGAUAAGUAGUAUUAAAUUGAAGUAUGGAAUAAUGAUGUUUGCAUUGGAAUACUAGUGUUCAGUACUAGUUUCUUGAUAAUAGGAAAAAAACUUGGAUAUUAGGGAAGGACCUAAUAUCAAUUAAAUAGGUAGAAGUGAGGCUUCGAACCCAGACUGUCUAGCCCACCAUCUUGUGGAGCUAGCCAGAACACCUCCAGG